rnacentral:rRNA from 1 species
UACAGAGGUGCCAAGCGUUAGGCGGAAUCACUGGGCUUAAAGCGCGCGUAGGCGGACGUUUAAGUGUCUUGUGAAAUCCCACGGCUCAACCGUGGAACUGCUGGGCAUACUGGACGUCUCGAGGCACUCAGGGGCGAGCGGAACAAGUGGUGGAGCGGUGAAAUGCGUAGAUAUCACUUGGAACGCCAAAAGCGAAGGCAGCUCUCUGGGUCCCUACCGACGCUGGAGUGCGAAAGCAUGGGGAGCGAACGGG